rnacentral:rRNA from 1 species
UACGGGGGGGAGCAAGCGUUGUUCGGAUUUACUGGGCGUAAAGGGCGCGUAGGCGGCGCGACAAGUCACUUGUGAAAUCUCUGGGCUCAACCCAGAACGGUCAAGUGAUACUGUCGUGCUAGAGUGCGGAAGGGGCAACUGGAAUUCUUGGUGUAGCGGUGAAAUGCGUAGAUAUCAAGAGGAACACCUGCGGCGAAGGCGGGUUGCUGGGCCGACACUGACGCUGAGGCGCGAAAGCUAGGGGAGCGAACGGG